ensembl:snRNA U2 U2 spliceosomal RNA
AUUGCUUCUCGGCCUUUUGGCUAAGAUCAAGUGUAGGUAUUGUUCUACCCUUGGUUAUGUUUUCUUUCAUACUUAUAUUUCUUCAUAAUGGUACAUAUAAAUCUAU